CACACACGUGUACAAGUAAUCAUUACACUGGGACUCGUUUUGCGACCAGUGGAAAAAGUGAUUUAUUUAAAUUGUACAUAGUUUGUAAAAUUGUUUUUCUGAGGUUUAGAUUACCAACAAUUUAAAAGCUUAACAACUUCAAACGGUUAGCCAUAGUGCUCAUUAAACCAGUCAUGCACUUCUUCAUUUUGCUGGGAUUUAUAAUUGCGACGGGGUUCGCAUUUUGGCCGCAGGACUUAAGUUCCCGGUUUGAUUUCUAUACGAAACUUGACCAAAGGCGGGCCAAGGAUGGAAGACCGGGAUGGUUCAUCGGGGUCAAGGAGGGCACUGGAAUACCGUAUUUUGAACGGGACUACCAAAAUCAUAAGGGGCAGAGUUACCAGCCGGCGUAUCAGCCCCCACCAUCCGGACAAUCGUACCCAGUAAAUUGAGCAGUCAAAUGUAACACAGGUGUCGAUAAGAUAUGGCUAUGGUCAAAACUGAAAUAAAAAAUAUUCGAUAUGUA